rnacentral:rRNA from 1 species
ACUGGAGUUUGAUCCUGGCUCAGGACGAACGCUUGCGGCGUGCCUAAGAAAUGCAAGUCGAACGGGGGCUUCGGCCACAGUGGCGAACGGUCGCGUAACACGUAAGCAACCUGCCCUGAAGUGGGGGACAACAUCCCGAAAGGGGUGCUAAUACCGCAUGUGGUCAUGAGUCGGCAUCGACUUGUGUCUAAAGAUUUAUCGCUUCAGGAUGGGCUUGCGGCCUAUCAGGUAGUUGGUGGGGUAAUGGCCUACCAAGCCGACGACGGGUAGCUGGUCUGAGAGGACGAUCAGCCGGAUUGGGACUGAGAUACGGCCAGACUCCGUACGGGGGCAGCAAUUAGGAAUCUUGCGCAAUGGGGGAAACCCUGACGCAGCGACGUCGCGUGAAGGAUGAA